rnacentral:rRNA from 1 species
UACAGAGGGUGCGAACGUUGCUCGGAAUUACUGGGCGUAAAGCGCGUGUAGGCAGGACUGCAAGUCAGAUGUGAAAGCCCCCGGGCUCAACCCGGGAACUGCAUCUGAAACUGCAGUCCUUGAGUAUCGGAGAGGGUGGCGGAAUUCCUGGUGUAGAGGUGAAAUUCGUAGAUAUCGGGAGGAACACCGGUGGCGAAGGCGGUUCUCUGGGCCUGUACUGACGCUGAGGAGCGAAAGCGUGGGGAGCGAACAGG